rnacentral:tRNA from 1 species
GGGGGUAUAGUUUAGUUGGUAGAACAAAUGCUUUGCAAGCAUUGGGUCAUCGGUUCGAGUCCGAUUAUCUCCA